rnacentral:rRNA from 1 species
AUGCUGGAGGUAUCAGAAGUGCGAAUGCUGACAUAAGUAACGAUAAAGCGGGUGAAAAGCCCGCUCGCCGGAAGACCAAGGGUUCCUGUCCAACGUUAAUCGGGGCAGGGUGAGUCGACCCCUAAGGCGAGGCCGAAAGGCGUAGUCGAUGGGAAACAGGUUAAUAUUCCUGUACUUGGUGUUACUGCGAAGGGGGGACGGAGAAGGCUAUGUUGGCCGGGCGACGGUUGUCCCGGUUUAAGCGUGUAGGCUGGUUUUCCAGGCAAAUCCGGAAAAUCAAGGCUGAGGCGUGAUGACGAGGCACUACGGUGCUGAAGCAACAAAUGCCCUGCUUCCAGGAAAAGCCUCUAAGCAUCAGGUAACAUCAAAUCGUACCCCAAACCGACACAGGUGGUCAGGUAGAGAAUACCAAGGCGCUUGAGAGAACUCGGGUGAAGGAACUAGGCAAAAUGGUGCCGUAACUUCGGGAGAAGGCACGCUGAUAUGUAGGUGAAGUGAUUUACUCAUGGAGCUGAAAUCAGUCGAAGAUACCAGCUGGCUGCAACUGUUUAUUAAAAACACAGCACUGUGCAAACACGAAAGUGGACGUAUACGGUGUGACGCCUGCCCGGUGCCGGAAGGUUAAUUGAUGGGGUCAGCGCAAGCGAAGCUCUUGAUCGAAGCCCCGGUAAACGGCGGCCGUAACUAUAACGGUCCUAAGGUAGCGAAAUUCCUUGUCGGGUAAGUUCCGACCUGCACGAAUGGCGUAAUGAUGGCCAGGCUGUCUCCACCCGAGACUCAGUGAAAUUGAACUCGCUGUGAAGAUGCAGUGUACCCGCGGCAAGACGGAAAGACCCCGUGAACCUUUACUAUAGCUUGACACUGAACAUUGAGCCUUGAUGUGUAGGAUAGGUGGGAGGCUUUGAAGUGUGGACGCCAGUCUGCAUGGAGCCGACCUUGAAAUACCACCCUUUAAUGUUUGAUGUUCUAACGUGGACCCGUAAUCCGGGUUGCGGACAGUGUCUGGUGGGUAGUUUGACUGGGGCGGUCUCCUCCUAAAGAGUAACGGAGGAGCACGAAGGUUGGCUAAUCCUGGUCGGACAUCAGGAGGUUAGUGCAAUGGCAUAAGCCAGCUUGACUGCGAGCGUGACGGCGCGAGCAGGUGCGAAAGCAGGUCAUAGUGAUCCGGUGGUUCUGAAUGGAAGGGCCAUCGCUCAACGGAUAAAAGGUACUCCGGGGAUAACAGGCUGAUACCGCCCAAGAGUUCAUAUCGACGGCGGUGUUUGGCACCUCGAUGUCGGCUCAUCACAUCCUGGGGCUGAAGUAGGUCCCAAGGGUAUGGCUGUUCGCCAUUUAAAGUGGUACGCGAGCUGGGUUUAGAACGUCGUGAGACAGUUCGGUCCCUAUCUGCCGUGGGCGCUGGAGAACUGAGGGGGGCUGCUCCUAGUACGAGAGGACCGGAGUGGACGCAUCACUGGUGUUCGGGUUGUCAUGCCAAUGGCACUGCCCGGUAGCUAAAUGCGGAAGAGAUAAGUGCUGAAAGCAUCUAAGCACGAAACUUGCCCCGAGAUGAGUUCUCCCUGAC